GACGAACUGUCCUAACGUUGUUCGGAAUCACUGGGCUUAAAGGGCGCGUAGGCGGUCGACCAAGUCAGGGGUGAAAUCCCGCAGCUUAACUGCGGAAGUGCCUUUGAUACUGGUCGUCUGGAGGGAGAUAGGGGUGUGUGGGAACUUCCAGUGGAGCGGUGAAAUGCGUUGAUAUUGGAAGGAACGCCGGAGGCGAAAGCGACGCACUGGAUCUCUUCUGACGCUGAGGCGCGAAAGCUAGGGGAGCAAACGGG
rnacentral:rRNA from 1 species